CGGGCGUUAAGUUGCAGGGUAUAGACCCGAAACCCGGUGAUCUAGCCAUGGGCAGGUUGAAGGUUGGGUAACACUAACUGGAGGACCGAACCGACUAAUGUUGAAAAAUUAGCGGAUGACCUGUGGCUGGGGGUGAAAGGCCAAUCAAACCGGGAGAUAGCUGGUUCUCCCCGAAAGCUAUUUAGGUAGCGCCUCGUGAAUUCAUCUCCGGGGGUAGAGCACUGUUUCGGCUAGGGGGCCAUCCCGGCUUACCAACCCGAUGCAAACUGCGAAUACCGGAGAAUGUUAUCACGGGAGACACACGGCGGGUGCUAACGUCCGUCGUGAAGAGGGAAACAACCCAGACCGCCAGCUAAGGUCCCAAAGUCAUGGUUAAGUGGGAAACGAUGUGGGAAGGCCCAGACAGCCAGGAUGUUGGCUUAGAAGCAGCCAUCAUUUAAAGAAAGCGUAAUAGCUCACUGGUCGAGUCGGCCUGCGCGGAAGAUGUAACGGGGCUAAACCAUGCACCGAAGCUGCGGCAGCGAACGUAUCACCCAAGACAACUUUACGGAGUUGACGAUUGACGGAGCGAAGCGACGUCAAAGCGUUCAUUAAAGUCGAGUUGGCUUAGGGAUACGUUCGUUGGGUAGGGGAGCGUUCUGUAAGCCUGUGAAGGUGUGUCGUGAGGCAUGCUGGAGGUAUCAGAAGUGCGAAUGCUGACAUAAGUAACGAUAAAGCGGGUGAAAAGCCCGCUCGCCGGAAGACCAAGGGUUCCUGUCCAACGUUAAUCGGGGCAGGGUGAGUCGACCCCUAAGGCGAGGCCGAAAGGCGUAGUCGAUGGGAAACGGGUUAAUAUUCCCGUACUUGGUGUUACUGCGAAGGGGGGACGGAGAAGGCUAUGUUGGCCGGGCGACGGUUGUCCCGGUUUAAGCGUGUAGGUGUGUGUUCCAGGUAAAUCCGGUUCACUUUAACACUGAGGCGUGACGACGAGGCACUACGGUGCUGAAGCAACAAAUGCCCUGCUUCCAGGAAAAGCCUCUAAGCAUCAGGUAACAUCAAAUCGUACCCCAAACCGACACAGGUGGUCAGGUAGAGAAUACCAAGGCGCUUGAGAGAACUCGGGUGAAGGAACUAGGCAAAAUGGUGCCGUAACUUCGGGAGAAGGCACGCUGACACGUAGGUGAAGUGAUUUACUCA
rnacentral:rRNA from 1 species